GGCAAACUCAAAAGGUAUAAACCUCACACGGAGAACUUUCUGGAAAAUUAAAGUGAGUGCAUACUGGCGUUAAGAGCACUCUGCCUGGAAAUCAGAACAAGCAGACUACCAUCAGAAAAUCUAAGUUUGCUGUGUAGUGAGGAUCAGGUCUGAUCCUGAUUGCAGAACAAUCCUCAUUACAGAAUCUUGGGUUGUGUCUCUCACCUCAUCUCCACGACCAUCCCAGAAGAUCUAUAAGAUUCCAUCUGGGAAAACACUAAGAGUUCUUGGCAGGGAAAGAAGAGGAUUGCUGGU
rnacentral:lncRNA from 1 species